rnacentral:tRNA from 1 species
GUCGUUGUAGUAUAGUGGUGAGUAUCCCGCCUGUCACGCGGGAGACCCGGGUUCGACCCGGCAACGGCG